rnacentral:rRNA from 1 species
GACGAACGCUGGCGGCGUGCUUAACACAUGCCAGUCGAACGGAAAGGCCCUGCUUGCAGGGUACUCGAGUGGCGAACGGGUGAGUAACACGUGGGUGAUCUGCCCUGCACUUCGGGAUAAGCCUGGGAAACUGGGUCUAAUACCGGAUAGGAGCCAUUUUUAGUGUGAUGGUUGGAAAGUUUUUUCGGUGUAGGAUGAGCUCGCGGCCUAUCAGCUUGUUGGUGGGGUAAUGGCCUACCAAGGCGGCGACGGGUAGCCGGCCUGAGAGGGUGGACGGCCACAUUGGGACUGAGAUACGGCCCAGACUCCUACGGGAGGCAGCAUUGGGGAAUAUUGCACAAUGGGCGCAAGCCUGAUGCAGCGACGCCGCGUGGGGGAUGACGGCCUUCGGGUUGUAAACUCCUUUCGCUAGGGACGAAGCUUUUUGUGACGGUACCUAGAUAAGAAGCACCGGCUAACUACGUG